AUACGAAGGGGGCUAGCGUUGCUCGGAAUCACUGGGCGUAAAGGGUGCGUAGGCGGGUCUUUAAGUCAGGGGUGAAAUCCUGGAGCUCAACUCCAGAACCGCCUUUGAUACUGAAGAUCUUGAGUUCGGGAGAGGUGAGUGGAACUGCGAGUGUAGAGGUGAAAUUCGUAGAUAUUCGCAAGAACACCAGUGGCGAAGGCGGCUCACUGGCCCGAUACUGACGCUGAGGCACGAAAGCGUGGGGAGCGAACGG
rnacentral:rRNA from 1 species